UGAUUAUAUGCGAAAGCACGAAGAAAGAGCUUUUGUUUUGAAGUUUUCUGCAAUGGAGAUCUACAAUGAAGUUGUCCGAGACCUCCUCAGCUCAGAUAGUUCUCCUCUAAGGCUGCUCGAUGAUCCUGAAAAAGGGACCAUUAUUGAGAAACUCACAGAAGAAACUUUAAGGGACUGGGACCAUCUGAAAGAUCUCUUGUCGGUAUGUGAAGCUCAAAGACAAAUUGGCGAAACUUAUCUUAAUGAAAAUAGCUCCAGGUCUCAUCAGAUUCUUAGACUGACAAUUGAAAGUUCAGCCCGUGAGUUUAUAGGGAAGGACAACAAAACAACUCUUUCUGCUAGUGUGAAUUUUGUUGAUCUAGCAGGUAGCGAACGUGCAUCUCAGUCUCUGUCAGUUGGGCAGAGACUGAAAGAAGGCUGUCAUAUUAAUCGUAGUUUGUUGACUUUGGGAACUGUUAUUCGCAAGCUAA
rnacentral:misc_RNA from 1 species